rnacentral:rRNA from 1 species
UACGUAGGGGGCAAGCGUUGUCCGGAUUUAUUGGGCGUAAAGAGCGUGUAGGCGGUUAGGUAGGUCCGUUGUGAAAACUCGAGGCUCAACCUCGAGACGCCGAUGGAAACCAUCUGACUAGAGUCCGGAAGAGGAGAGUGGAAUUCCUGGUGUAGCGGUGAAAUGCGCAGAUAUCAGGAAGAACACCCGUGGCUAAGGCGGCUCUCUAGUACGGUACUGACGCUGAGACGCGAAAGCGUGGGGAGCGAAGCAGG